CCGCAGAAGUAAUUUAAACAAGUCGUUAAUGUUUUGCACUAGGAAAAGGUUCUUGAGAAGAAGAUGAAAAUGUGAAAAGUUAACGACGACGACAGACAACGGACAAAUUUUGAUCGGAAGAGCUCACUUGAGCCUUCAACUCAGAAAUAUUUCAAGAUGUCUGUACCGGCUAUCGCUUCCAUCCUCGCAGCUUUGUUGUCUGUCAGUCUUGUCAAGGAAGGGAUAGAUGCACAGACUUGUCAAGAUGUAAAUGACUGAACCACAGAGUACGAAUCCGCUGAAGCAGUAGCCGGACAAAACCAGGGCAAAUUAUGCAAGGCUGUCAAUGUUUACAUAACAUGCCUGGAGGCUGCGGGAAAGAAAUGUAACAUUGACGUCACACCCACAUUAGAGGCCGCGGAAGAGACUUUGAUUCAGUUUUGUACAACAUCAAAAGGUGGCUAUGCAACAUCUUUCCUUGGUUUCGUUACCAUGGUUCUGGGAGUUUUGAUUUUAAGAUCUGUGUAAAUUAAUGAGGAAAAAUUAGGCAAAAAGAGGAAAAUGCGAGUCUUUUGCGAAUUGGUACAUGUAUUUUAUUUUAACAAAUAGAUGGUUUUUAUCUAUAAUCUGUCAUAAAGGACAAUUUUUUUCACACUGAUCGACAGUACUUGCCACGAAUGUAUUUUUUCUCUCUCUAUUUUUACAGUUAACUAAUUUGUAUUUUCGAUGUCUUAAACACAGAAAAAGACAAAUGAUAAGAACUUUCCAGAGUUACCUUAUUUCAUUUGACUUUUAUUAAUGUUCUUUAUGCUUUCUUUUCUCACAUGUAUUAAAGGUAAUCUAAAAUAUUAGUUUUUGUGUGUGUUGAGACGCUAAAAUGUGCCGUUGCAAUUUUGUGCAUCUGCAUUACCAAUUGAUUUGGUGGUCAUUGACUUAAACAUCGUUUUAGAGUUGCAUAGUUAGGAGUUGAUCAAUAUGUAUACACCGAACGUCUUCAUGUCCUUAUGUGGAAUCCACUUAAAUGCAUUAAGACUUGAGACGGAAUGAAUCUUAUUGCGUAUAUCCCAGUACAUCCUGGCACGAAAGGAUCAAUCGUCAGUGGUCUCCAACAGGACGUCAAACAACAGUUAAUCAAUUACCAGUUUACAGGUCAAUAUCUUCAGCCUUCAACAGAUUUCUGGCGUCCAAUCAUGUAUCGUUAGAUUUGUAUUGAACAACCCAGCCCCAUCAAAAUCGCGUUGAAAUUUCAUUAAGGUCUCCUGACCUUCUGAUAAGAGAGAUAACUUUCAAAGUACAAAAUAUGAUAAUUAACUACUCAUAGUUUCCUUUAUCAGAGUUUUCUUUUUGAACCUCUGAGUAGUCAAUUCGAUGAAUCUAUCAUGUUAUGGAAACAUUACCUUCUAUUUCUGUUGCCAAUGUCUUCCUAAUUGUUUAUUAUAUUGAACAAUAAAACAUUUAAAUCCAAGUUCAGAA